rnacentral:rRNA from 1 species
UUGAACGCUGGCGGCAUGCUUUACACAUGCAAGUCGAACGGCAGCGGGGGCUUCGGCCUGCCGGCGAGUGGCGAACGGGUGAGUAAUGCAUCGGAACGUGCCCAGUCAUGGGGGAUAACUACGCGAAAGCGUAGCUAAUACCGCAUACGCCCUGAGGGGGAAAGCGGGGGAUCGCAAGACCUCGCGUGAUUGGAGCGGCCGAUGUCGGAUUAGCUAGUUGGUGGGGUAAAGGCCUACCAAGGCGACGAUCCGUAGCUGGUCUGAGAGGAUGAUCAGCCACACUGGGACUGAGACACGGCCCAGACUCCUACGGGAGGCAGCAGUGGGGAAUUUUGGACAAUGGGCGCAAGCCUGAUCCAGCCAUUCCGCGUGAGUGAAGAAGGCCUUCGGGUUGUAAAGCUCUUUCGGCAGGGAAGAAACGGUUUUGGCUAAUAUCCAGAGCUAAUGACGGUACCUGAAGAAGAAGCACCGGCUAACUACGU